rnacentral:rRNA from 1 species
CACGUAGGGUGCGAGCGUUGUCCGGAAUUAUUGGGCGUAAAGAGCUCGUAGGCGGUGUGUCGCGUCGGCCGUGAAAACCUGCAGCUUAACUGUGGGCUUGCGGUCGAUACGGGCAUCACUGGAGUUCGGCAGGGGAGACUGGAAUUCCUGGUGUAGCGGUGAAAUGCGCAGAUAUCGGGAGGAACACCAAUGGCGAAGGCAGCUCGCUGGGACGGUACU